CACCUGAACAUCGCCCCCGAGUGCUCCGUGAUCGCUGCGCAUGCGUGAGGUGAGAGAAGGUGAGAAAGGAGAACAACUCUUUUUCGCAGGAUGUGACGUCACAUUGUUGCUUGUUUUUACUUUUUUGAAAGAGCUACUCUCGAACGUAGAUUAGCCAUUGCCGUCGUGUCGGCUGCAAGACGUUCUGCGCGCGCUUGGCGCGCUUUUGUGCGUGUCGAAAGCGUAUAACGUGCGCGAUAUUCGUGCGAGCGCAGUUUGACUUGAGCAAUCGUGGGUUUGGACUCCGUGACAUUUGCUUUCGUCAUAUGCGAGUUAGGGGCUUGCCGACAGGUAAACCGCCGCUGUACUUAGAUGAGUUGAGAUUUACACAUCAAUGCCAGCUCACAAAGCAUCUAAUACGGCAAUCAGCCAGCCACCUCCGCAGAUGGAGAAUUCUGCAGUUUCCAAUCAUACUGUUUCUGUUGUCUUUGGCAGAGAUUUUGAUUGUACACAGCGGGAAUAAACUGUAGGACCAUAAAAAAACUUGUGAUGACAAGGGCCAUAUAUGGUGGAAAUUAUAGUAGAUUAUGACCAGCAUUAGCUCAAGCCCUGCUAAAGGUCUGUGGUAUCUAAAAAAAUAAUAAAGUGCUGGUUUUCAUAUCUA